rnacentral:rRNA from 1 species
AACGAACGCUGGCGGCAUGCCUAACACAUGCAAGUCGAACGAGACCUUCGGGUCUAGUGGCGCACGGGUGCGUAACGCGUGGGAACCUGCCCUUAGGUUCGGAAUAACUCCCCGAAAGGGGUGCUAAUACCAGAUAAUGUCUUCGGACCAAAGAUUUAUCGCCUUUGGAUGGGCCCGCGUUGGAUUAGCUAGUUGGUAGGGUAAAAGCCUACCAAGGCGACGAUCCAUAGCUGGUCUGAGAGGAUGAUCAGCCACACUGGGACUGAGACACGGCCCAGACUACUACGGGAGGCAGCAGUGGGGAAUAUUGGACGAUGGGCGAAAGCCUGAUCCAGCAAGGCCGCGUGAGUGAUGAAGGACUUAGGGUUGUAAAGCUCUUUUACCCGGGAUGAUAAUGACAGUACCGGGAGAAUAAGCUCCGGCUAACUCCGUG